rnacentral:rRNA from 1 species
UACAGAGGUCCCAAGCGUUGUUCGGAUUCACUGGGCGUAAAGGGUGCGUAGGCGGUGGGAUAAGUCUGGUGUGAAAGCUCGGAGCUCAACUCCGAAAUUGCAUUGGAAACUAUCACACUAGAGGAUUGGAGGGGAGACUGGAAUUCUCAGUGUAGCAGUGAAAUGCGUAGAUAUUGAGAGGAACACCAGUGGCGAAGGCGAGUCUCUGGACAAUUCCUGACGCUGAGGCACGAAAGCCGGGGGAGCAAACAGG